rnacentral:ncRNA from 1 species
UUGAGCCGUACGAGAUGAAAUUCUCAUAUACGGUUCUUAGGGGGGUCCUUUGGUUUACCUAUCUCAAU